rnacentral:lncRNA from 1 species
CAUAUUAAAAAAGAUGAUUAACUUCUAUUUUUUUGGGUUGAAAUUUAGUUUCAAAAAGAAACCAAAAGAGAUCAGAUAACAAAACAGAAAGUAGAGAUAAACAAUACACCGUGCAGAGAAUAGAAUACAAACAUAAAGUAGAAUACAAACAGAGCCCGGUCAAACCCAUUAUAUAAAGAAUCAGAUAACAAAACAAAAGUAGAGAUAGAUCGAUCA